UGCAAUCACCAAUCUCCCGAACUGCAACACAUGAAUUCACCAAUCUCCCGAACUGGAACCAGGGGAAUGCUCCAAACUCCCGAACAGGAAACACACGAAUGCUGUAAACAGCCGAACAGGAAAAAACAUACGAACAGUUUACACUCCUGGCAGUCACACUGUAACAGCAUACAAUCCAUUUUCCCCAAGAACGAGACAAAGCUUCGUGUUGAGGGUCAAGCAGUG